rnacentral:rRNA from 1 species
UACGUAGGUCCCGAGCGUUGUCCGGAUUUAUUGGGCGUAAAGCGAGCGCAGGUGGUUUAUUAAGUCUGGUGUAAAAGGCAGUGGCUCAACCAUUGUAUGCAUUGGAAACUGGUAGACUUGAGUGCAGGAGAGGAGAGUGGAAUUCCAUGUGUAGCGGUGAAAUGCGUAGAUAUAUGGAGGAACACCGGUGGCGAAAGCGGCUCUCUGGCCUAUAACUGACACUGAGGCUCGAAAGCGUAGGGAGCAAACAGG